AGUGAACGCUGGCGGCAUGCCUAACACAUGCAAGUCGAACGACCACACAGUAAGAUUUUGCCUUUACGGGUGGCGAGUGGCGGACGGGUGAGGCAUACAUCGGAAUCCUCUUUUUCGUGGGGGAUAACGUAGGGACACAUAUGCUAAUACCGCAUACUACCUACCGGUGAAAUCGGGGGAUCUACGGACCUUGCGCGAAUCAAUGAGCCGAUGUCGGAUUAGCUAGUUGGCGAGGUAAAGGCCCACCAAGGCAACGAUACGUAGCUGAUCUGAGAGGGUGAUCAGCCACACUGGAACUGAGACACGGUCCAGACUCCUACGGGAGGCAGCAGUGGGGAAUAUUGCGCAAUGGGCGAAAGCCUGAUGCAGCAACACCGCGUGGGUGAAGAAGGCCUUCGGGUUGUAAAACCCUGUUAUUAGGAAAGAAAAACAGCGGAUUUAUCCGCGGAUGUUUUGACGGUACCCAAAGAAAAAGCCCCGGCUAACUUCGUG
rnacentral:rRNA from 1 species